AGCCCUUGGAAGCGUUACCCAUUAUUAUUCUUGUCCAAAAUUUCCCCAUUGCACUCUCCCUCUCUCUGCACCCUCCCCAAUCAAAUCAAACAAACGAGAGAAGGGAGAAGAAUAACCAAUGGCUACUCCGGCGACACUUCCGAUCUCGAGUCCUCAAUCCACGGCGGCUUCCGGAGCCCAAUCUCAGCCCCCCAUCGCCACUCCCGCAUUUCGCUCCUUCAUCUCCCGCCUCUCAUCUUCGACCCGUCAGGGUUUCGCUCAACGCCGCCCUUGGUAUGAACUUCUCGAUCGCACCUCCUUCGCUCGCCCUGACUCCGUCGCUGAGGCCGCCUCACGUGUCCGCAAAAACUUCUCCUACUUCCGCGUCAAUUAUAUUUCUCUACUCGCAGGCGUACUCGCUCUUUCCCUUCUCUCUCAUCCUUUCUCUCUCCUCGUCCUCCUCGCUCUCCUCGGU
rnacentral:lncRNA from 1 species